rnacentral:rRNA from 1 species
GACAGAGGUCCCGAGCGUUAGGCGGAAUCACUGGGCUUAAAGCGUGUGUAGGCGGAUGCCUAAGUACCUUGUGAAAUCCCACGGCUUAACCGUGGAAUUGCUUGGUAUACUGGGUGUCUUGAGCCAGCUAGGGGCAACCGGAACAAAUGGUGGAGCGGUGAAAUGCGUAGAUAUCAUUUGGAACGCCAAUGGUGAAAACAGGUUGCUGGGGCUGUGCUGACGCUGAGACACGAAAGCCAGGGGAGCAAACAGG